AUGGAGGAUGACAAGAAGACCAAGUACCGCGGCGUGCGUACGCGGCCUUGGGGCAAGUUCGCCGCCGAGAUCCGUGACCCCGAGCGUGGCGGCGCCCGCGUCUGGCUCGGCACGUUUGACACGGCCGAGGAGGCCGCGAGGGCGUACGACCGCGCGGCUUUUGCCCAGAGGGGCGCCACUGCCGUGCUAAACUUCCCCGGCGAGGCCGGGGGCGCCUUCGGCUCGUCUUCGUCCGCCCCGGCUGGCUCCGGUGCCGGCACGGGCAGGGGUCGCGGGGGCACAGAGAAGAUCGAACUGGAGUACCUCGACGACAGCCUCCUGGACGAGCUUCUCGACGACAGCAAGUACGGUGGUAAAUGA
rnacentral:rRNA from 1 species